rnacentral:rRNA from 1 species
GGGGGGGGGUGGGGGGGGGGGGGGCGCGUGGGGGGCGAGCGACGGGCGGGGGGGGGGGGAGAGGGGGGAGUAACGCGUGGGAACCUCCCGGUUCGUGCGGAAUAGGUCGGGGGAGCAGGAGUUAGUACGCGCACCGCCGUACCGGGCGAAGAUUUAUCGGGUCAGGAUUGGCCCGCGUUAGAUCCGCUAGUGGGUAGGGUUAAGGCCUACCAAGGCGACGAUCCAUAGCCGGUCUGAGCGGAUGAUCAGCGACAUUGGAACUGAGACACGCCCCAAACUCCUACGGGAGGCAGCAGUGGGGAAUAUUGGACAAUGGGCGCAAGCCUGAUCCAGCCAGGCCGCGUGAGGGAUGAAGGCCUUAGGGUUGUAAAGCUCUUUCACCGAUGAAGAUAAUGACGGUAGUCGGAGAAGAAGCCCCGGCUAACUUCGUG